CGCCUCUUGUAACCUACAAAUAAGAGGUCCCGCCUGCCCUGUGACUAUGGGUUUAACGGCCGCGGUAUUUUGACCGUGCAAAGGUAGCGCAAUCACUUGUCCUUUAAAUGAGGACCUGUAUGAAAGGCAUCACGAGGGCUUAGCUGUCUCCUUUUUCAAGUCGAUGAAGUUGAUCCCCCCGUGCAGAAGCGGGGAUUAGAACAUAAGACGAGAAGACCCUAUGGAGCUUUAGAUACAAGACAGAUCAUGUUAAGCACCUUAAAUAAAAAAGCAAACUAAGUGGAACCUGUCUUAAUGUCUUUGGUUGGGGCGACCGCGGGGCAACAAAAAGCCCCCAUGAGGAAUAAAAGUAUUCUUUCAAAAACAAGAGCCACAGCUCUAAUGAACAGAACAUCUGACCUACCAGAUCCGGCAUAGCCGAUCAACGAACCGAGUUACCCUAGGGAUAACAGCGCAAUCCCCUUUUAGAGCCCCUAUCGACAAGGGGGUUUACGACCUCGAUGUUGGAUCAGGACAUCCUAAUGGUGUAGCCGCUAUUAAGGGUUCGUUUGUUCAACGAUUAAAGUCCU
rnacentral:rRNA from 1 species